UGGCGAGAAGGGAAGUGUGUUUCCAUAGAAA
rnacentral:rRNA from 7 species